UAAGCAACAGCUGGCCAGUAACGCCAGUAACGCCAGGAACGCCGUCGGGUGUGACGUCAUUCCCAGCGCCGACCUCCGACUUCCGAGGGGAGCUUCACUGAGAGGAAGCCUCUCUUUUGCAGGAAGACCCUGAUCACAGUCACACCUGGAAGCGGCACAGUACAACCACAGCCUGAUCUGCUGGCCACUAAGCAGCUACCCUGGAGCUGUUAAUUAUUCUAUUCUAAUUAAAUCACUCCUUUGUUUCGCUUGUCCAA